GAACUGCGAUAAGUAAUGUGAAUUGCAGAAUUCAGUGAAUCAUCGAGCCUUUGAACGCACAUUGCGCCCCCUGGCAUUCCGGGGGGCAUGCCUGUCCGAGCGUCAUUGCUGCCCUUCAAGCCCGGCUUGUGUGUUGGGUCGUCGUCCCCUCCGGGGGACGGGCCCGAAAGGCAGCGGCGGCACCGCGUCCGGUCCUCGAGCGUAUGGGGCUUUGUCACCCGCUCGAUAAGGACCGGCCGGGCGCCAGCCGGCGUCUCCAACCUUUUUUUCUCAGGUUGACCUCGGAUCAGGUAGGGAUACCCGCUGAACUUAAGC
rnacentral:misc_RNA from 1 species